GAGGGUAUAGCUCAAGGGUAGAGCACGUGCUUAGCCUGCAGGAGGUCCUGGGUUCAAUCCCCAGGACCUCA
rnacentral:tRNA from 1 species